AAACUGAACUCUAUUUGCAUAUCCUUUUAUACAUGGGAGAUUAAAAGCUUCAACCUUGAGUGAUCACAGUUUUUGAGAAUCAUGAUGAGGCAUUAAAGAGGAGGAGGAGUGUCUCAAGGGAGGUGAGCUGGAGGCGAUGCAAGGUUUUCUGUCUUUCCUCUUCUGUCUCCUUCCAUCUGGAGUCGAGGGUGAAGCCACUCCACUGCAGACCAUUGAGUGCUGAGAGGAAUGGAGUCAGUAUUACUGAGCACCUGUGCUGUUGUAGUCACUCAGCCCUUGCUUCUAGGACACUGGAGGAAAGAGACGGAAAUAUAGUAUAUCACUUUACCUGUCUGCACUACAUUGCGUGAUGUGGAAGUCACUGAAUUUCUUCAUUCAUCAGUUUCUACAUAUUCAACCAAAGAGGUUGAGCCUGAUAAUAAUUAGUUUCUCAUUGUUGUGACACUCUGAGUGCACAUAUGUGGGGAUGGAUAUCCUCCAUACAGAAAGCAUGAUGAUGGUUUUGAUGCUGAGAAAUGGACUUUCUAUGAACUCAAAGAUUUUGUUUUUUAAAGAAAGAAAGAAAAAGGAGUGAAGGAGAGGAAGAAAGAGGAAGAAGAAGAGGGAGAGAGAAUGGGAAUAUAGCUUUAUUCUAAAAAUGGGAAUUAAUAAUGGCAGUUCAAUAUUUUGUGUAUUUAAGGUGGAGAAUGUAUAUUUUGUGUAUUUAAAGUGGAGAGCUCUAUAAAUAUUUAUUGAGUUUACUUGUUCUGAAUCUGAGUUCAAGUACUGGAUAUCCUUAUUAAUUUUUUGUCUCAUUGAGUCUAAUUCUCUUUAUGAAUCUUAUGCAUCUGGGUGUUAGGAUUGUUAGCUCUUAUUGUUGCAUUGAUCCUUUUACCACUGUAUCUUUGUUGCUUUAAACUUUAUUUUAUCAGAUGCAAGAAUUGCAACUCCUGCUUUUUAUUUAUUUAUUUAUUUUUGUUCUUCAUUUGGUUGGUAAAUCUUUCUCCAUCCCUUUGUUUUAAGUCUUUGUGUAUCUUUGGAUGUGAAAUGGGUCUGGAUGUAGCAUACCAUUAGGUUUUGGCUGUAUCUUUUGAUUGGGGGAUUUAGUCAACUUAAAUUUAGGGUUACUGCCAUUUGAUGUUAACUGGCUAUUUUAUCCAUUUGUUGAUGUAAAUUCUUCUUUAUGUUAAUGCUCUUUACUUUUUGGUAUAUUUUUAGAAAGAUAAUACUGGUUUUUCCUUUCUAUGUAUAAUGCUUCUUUCAGAAGCUCUUGUAAAGCCAGCCUGGUGGUAAUAAAAUCUCUGAGUACUUGCUUGUUCAUAAAAUAUUUUAUUUUUCCUUCAGUUGUGAAGCUUAGUUUGGCAGGAUAUGAAAUUCUGGGCUGAACGUUCUGUUCUUUAAAGAUGUUGAAUAUCGGCCCCCACUCUCUUCUGGGUUUCUGCUGAGAGAUCUGCUGUAAGUCUAAUAGGCUUCCCUUUGUGGGUAACCUGACCUUUCUCUCUGGCUGCCCUUAGUAUUUUCUCCUUUGUUUCAACCCUGGUGAAUCUAACAAUUAUGUGCCUUGGGGUUGCUCUUCUUGAGGAAUAUUUUAGUGGUGUUCUCUGUAUUACCUGGGGUUGAAUAUUGUCCUGCUUUGCUAGAUUCAGAAAGUUUUCCUGAAUAAUAUCCUGAAGAGUAUUUUCCAGCUUGGAUUCAUUCUCUUCGUCUUAUUCAGAUACAUCUAUCAAAUGUAAAUUAGGUCUUUUCACAUAGUCCCAUAUUUCUUGGAGACUUUGCUCAUUCCUUUUUAUCCUUUUUUCUCUAUUCUUGUCUUCUCAUUUUAUUUCAUUAAGUAGGUCUUUGACCUCUGAUAUCAUUUCUUCUGCUUGAUCAAUUCGGCUAUUCAAACUUGUGCAUAUUUUGCUAAGUUUUUGUGUUCUGUUUUUCAACUCCGUUAGUUCAUUUAUAUUCCUCUCUAUAUUGUCUAUUCUUGUUAGCAUUUCGUCAAACCUUUUUUCAAAGUUCUUAGUUUCUUUACAUUGGGUUAGAACAAGUUCUUUUAACUACCAGAAGUUUCUUAUCAUCCACCUUCUGAAGCCUACUUCUGUUAAUGGCACACAGUCCUUUUCCAUCAGGGCUUGUUCCGUUGCUGAUGAGGAACUGUAAUCCCCUGAGAGGGAGAGGGGGUUCUGAUUUUGGGUAUUCUCAGCCUUUUUAGGCUGGUUUCUUCCCUUUGUUAUAAAUUUAUCCAUCUGUCGUCUUUAUGAUUACUGCCUUUCUAGUUGGGUUUCUGAGUGGAUGCCCCGUUUAUUGAUUCCCAGUGCUGGAAUCCGAGCAACCCACUGUGCCAGCCAAAACAGCAGCGAUAAGACUAAUGGUGCUCUUCUGCCCUGGAAUCUCCUCCCGUUUACUCUGCACGAAGAGCUGCUGUGCCGAGGUGCUGUCAAAACCGCUGCGCCAGCCACAAGAGUCGCGCUGGUGACCCGUGGGGCCCCUCUACUGGGAAUCUUCUGGUCCGUGAGCGACAAAAAUUCGUCUGAAAGUGUGGCGUCCUCUCAUUCUCUGCACUUUCACUGGGAGCUACAAUCCUGAGCUGUUAGCGAUCAGCCAUCAAUGUAAAAACUCAAAGAUUUUACAUUGAUUCUUACUAUAGAGCUGGGUUAUUGUUAUUGUGUCAGUUCUCUAAUUUCAACUUAUAGAGGCAGCUACACUGGACUUUGUGGUUUCUUAUGUCCUUACUUAUGAACUUGGUGCAUAAAGCCCUUCUUCAUCUCUUUAGAAGACUGAGGCAGUUAAUCCUUUAUCCAUCACUCAUGAUUCUAACACAGGUGUUAUGCAAACACAGUGAGGUCUUUAUGCAUGAGGAGGCCUUGGCUGUGACAGAGCUUAUGACAACACACACUCAGGCUGUGUCUCCUUGGUACUGUCCCUGGGGCUGCUGACUUUCCUUUUCACUGCCUCAGAGUAAAACUUCUUACUCCUGUCAGAUGGCAGAUAAAGAAGGAAACUGACUCUAGGGCCCACCCUGGGCCCUGUGGUCCCAGCACACCCAGAAGCCAAGGAGUAUGAAUCCCUAAAGCUCAGCUAUGGAUGGUAAAGGCUCUCCAGCCUUCUCCACGGUGGCUCUGUAGCCCUCAGGUUUCUCUAUGACUGACUUUUUGGAGAAGCCAGAAAAGGAAAACCAAGAACCUCACUGAGGUGAACACACGCUUUAUUUCAGCUUCACAAUGGAGUGAGACAGUUUUUGGGAGGCACAUCAACCUGCAGGUAUAGAUGAGGCUUCAGAUUCUUUUCCGGGGCUGCUAGAGUAGAGUCAUCUGGGGACCAGUGAAAGAAAUGCAUUACCCAUUGUGUAUUUUUACCUUGAUGGUUGGGGAAGAAACACUCAUCAAUCCACAGGAUGUGGUCACGUGAGGAGGGAGAGAAUCAAGGCAAAGGGCUCAAAAUGCCAUGCCUCAUUUCAUUUUCCAUAUGUCAGAAAUUGGUGCUGUCAUCUUCCUGUUCAUGGUGUAAGGUUUGGUCUUUUCAGGACUGCUUCCUUGCCAAACCCUCCCAUCCACUCCCCAACACACUUUGUGCUAAUUAAUGGCAUUUCAUCACUUGGUUUUGAAAAAUGAAAGUGUGAGCUUCUUGUGAAAGAGCUCUUAGCAAGAUAAGAAAGGAAAAAAUGAUUCCUUAUCCUCCCAACCUAUAGAAAAGCUAGUAUAAUAUGUGUCUUAAGAAUAUGCAUGAAAAUGUUAUUUCUAACAGGGAGAGUCCAGCAAGCAUCCACACUCCAAAUAUUGGGCUCCCUGCCUGCUCGCAGGUCUUUGCUGAAAUGUCACCUUCUCAUUGUAUCCUUUCUUGACAACCUGAUUUAAAAUUGUAAUUUCUCCAAGCCUGCCGACAACCCUCUCUCUCUCCUCGCCUGUUUUACUCCUCUCCAUGGCAAUUAUCUCCAUCUGACAUAUAUUUUACUUAUUUUAUUUUAUGUUUAUUUCCACUAAAAUAUAAGCUCCUGAGAUUCUGAGAGCUGUGCUUCCAUUGUGUCUAGAAAAGUGUCUGGCGCAUACGAGGCACUUAAUAAAUUGUUACUGAAUGAAUGCUGCUAUAUUCUAUGAAAGCACUUUAAUUUCUGAAAGUCUGUACUUUGGAUUUUUUUUUCUUAAUAAUUUGUUGCCCUAGUAAUACAUUUAGACUGACAUUUCUUUUUCUGAAAGUUAUAAAUACGUAUGCAAUUUUGUCCUUAAGCCAGAAGGAUAAUUUAAACUUUCCCUAUUCUCCCAUAUGCAUGCAGGUAAAAGGAAAACUGAUGACUGUUAGAUUUCUAAUUUAAACAUAGAGUUUGAGAACCUGCUUUAUUUAAAUGAAUACAAGCAACUGCACGUUGGCUUGACUUCCUUUGCCCUGUCACUGGGGCUUUUUCCUAUGAAGUCAAGCACGCUGGGUGGCACACUGUUCCACUGGCUGGCUGCUGCCUUGGAGCCUGGGAGCAUCCAGGACAUGCCUUCAGAGAACCCCUGCAGUGUUUCAUGCACUUGACUAUACACUGUUACCACUCAUAAACAUACGUGUUUGUGUAUGUGUAAAUUGCUAAAAUGCCCAAAAAGACCCUGUGGAUUCUGCAUUCUUGAAGAAUACCAAAAUCAUUUGGUGGUGGUAGUGAUAAAGUGAGAGGGAGUUAGAAAUUGCUCCCUUGUUUAGGAAAAUGUGUUAUUGUGGCUUUUCAUGGUGAAAUAGCAUGCCCCAGCAAGUCUGUUUGGAGAGAAGCUUUGCAAAAUUCCUUUGUGAAAUAAAAUAGAAAUGUUUGGCUUUUUCUUCGACAGCCUCAGACUCAGGGCCUGGGGCCUUGGGACUCAAAAGAGAAAAGGUGGAGAAAGGAGAAAAUCUUCUAUUCUCUUCAUUUUGCCCCUACUAACAUCCAAUGUACUUAGGAGCCUCAAUGUCUGCUCUCCCAGAGUAAGUUAUUUGGUGUUCCAAAUACAGAGUACUCUGUAAUCAACUCUUCAGAAAAUCUUGUUACGGUCAAUAGCAUUUUUUUUAGUGGGCAGACGAGGCUUGGGGAAAGCCUCUCAGAGGGCUGAGUCCACUCCAGCCUUGUGCACCAUCGUAUCCCUGGCAUCCAGCUCAACGCAGGGUACAUAGCACUCACUCAUACUUACUUCAUUCAUUCAUUCAUUUAAUACAUUUAUUGAGUGUCUGGUAUGGGCCAAAGUUAUUCUAAGUGCUGGAGUGAAAGCAAUGAACAAAACAGACAAAAACUCAUCCCUGCCACCAAGGACCUUGUAUUCCAGUGAGAGCCAGACAUAAAAAAAUAAACAAGUAAAAUAUGUAGCAUGCCAAAUAGUGAUAAAUUCUCUGGAGAAAAACGAAGCAGAUAUGAGAGAGGUACUUGCUGGAAAAAUAAAGUGCUCUGACAAAAGAAGCUGUAAAUCAUAUCAUUUCAAU